rnacentral:rRNA from 1 species
GUGGGGAAUCUUGCGCAAUGGGCGAAAGCCUGACGCAGCCAUGCCGCGUGAAUGAUGAAGGUCUUAGGAUUGUAAAAUUCUUUCACCGGGGACGAUAAUGACGGUACCCGGAGAAGAAGCCCCGGCUAACUUCGUGCCAGCAGCCGCGGUAAUACGAAGGGGGCUAGCGUUGCGCGGAAUUACUGGGCGUAAAGGGCGCGUAGGCGGACAGUUUAGUCAGAGGUGAAAGCCCAGGGCUCAACCUUGGAAUUGCCUUUGAUACUGGCUGUCUUGAGUACGGGAGAGGUGAGUGGAACUCCGAGUGUAGAGGUGAAAUUCGUAGAUAUUCGGAAGAACACCAGUGGCGAAGGCGACUCACUGGCCCGUUACUGACGCUGAGGCGCGAAAGCGUGGGGAGCAAACAGGAUUAGAAACCCCAGUAGUCC